GAAACGCAGUGGUUUGGCUCUGUAGUUUGCAGACUGCUUCACUGUUGUCCGGAGUGUAGAGUUUGUUCACCCUAUCCGUCGGAGAAGUAGCGCGGUGCGCUCAUGUUUCUGUUUUCGUGUUCCUAAAGCACAUGUCAACCUUGGUGACGGCGGUAGCACUCUUCCGCAUCGGAUCCCUUAGUGCCACACUGCAGCCACUGCUGGCCUGCUACCUCCUCCAAAGAGAUGCCUUGGGAUGCCAAUGGAAGCCACCACGACGUCGUGGCCGAUGCCAUUCCCAUACCGCACAGUGAACGUCACAAUGUCAUCGAAACAAUACGCGCUUCUGGGGCAGCUGCUGAUCACCAACAGGGCAGCUC
rnacentral:lncRNA from 1 species